UACGUAGGGUGCAAGCGUUGUCCGGAAUUAUUGGGCGUAAAGAGCUCGUAGGCGGUCUGUCACGUCGGAUGUGAAAACUCGGGGCUCAACCCCGAGCCUGCAUACGAUACGGGCAGACUUGAGGUCGGCAGGGGAGACUGGAAUUCCUGGUGUAGCGGUGAAAUGCGCAGAUAUCGGGAGGAACACCAAUGGCGAAGGCAGCUCGCUGGGACGGUACUGACGCUGAGACGCGAAAGCGUGGGGAGCAAACAGG
rnacentral:rRNA from 1 species